GAAAUGCGAUAAGUAAUGUGAAUUGCAGAAUUCAGUGAAUCAUCGAGUCUUUGAACGCACAUUGCGCCCCCUGGUAUUCCGGGGGGCAUGCCUGUCCGAGCGUCAUUGCUGCCCUCAAGCACGGCUUGUGUGUUGGGCCCCGUCCCCUCCCCCGGGGACGGGCCCGAAAGGCAGCGGCGGCACCGCGUCCGAUCCUCGAGCGUAUGGGGCUUUGUCACCCGCUCUGUAGGCCCGGCCGGCGCCAGCCGACACCCAACUUUUAUUUCUAAGGUUGACCUCGGAUCAGGUAGGGAUACCCGCUGAACUUAAGC
rnacentral:misc_RNA from 1 species